AAUUAAUUAAUCUAUACAAGAUUACUAUUUUGAAAAUAGUCUAAAGAAAAUAUUCUAUUAAUUU
rnacentral:tRNA from 1 species